rnacentral:rRNA from 1 species
GACGUAGGGCGCGAGCGUUGUCCGGAUUUAUUGGGCGUAAAGAGCUCGUAGGCGGUGUGUCGCGUCGGCCGUGAAAACCUGUGGCUUAACUAUGGGCUUGCGGUCGAUACGGGCAUCACUGGAGUUCGGCAGGGGAGACUGGAAUUCCUGGUGUAGCGGUGAAAUGCGCAGAUAUCAGGAGGGAACACCGGUGGGCGAAGGCGGGUCUCUGGGCCGAUACUGACGC